AACGUUGAAACUCCAGUUCCUGUACGAUCACCAAAGUUAAGCAACGUCGGGCCUGCUCAUUGCCAAGGUGGGUGACUGCUUGGGAACACCAGACACUGUAA